AUUGAACGCUGGCGGCAUGCCUUACACAUGCAAGUCGAACGGUAACGGGCCUUCGGGUGCCGACGAGUGGCGAACGGGUGAGUAAUACAUCGGAACGUGCCCGAUCGUGGGGGAUAACGAGGCGAAAGCUUUGCUAAUACCGCAUACGAUCUACGGAUGAAAGCAGGGGACCGCAAGGCCUUGCGCGGACGGAGCGGCCGAUGGCAGAUUAGGUAGUUGGUGGGAUAAAAGCUUACCAAGCCGACGAUCUGUAGCUGGUCUGAGAGGAUGAUCAGCCACACUGGGACUGAGACACGGCCCAGACUCCUACGGGAGGCAGCAGUGGGGAAUUUUGGACAAUGGGCGCAAGCCUGAUCCAGCAAUGCCGCGUGCAGGAUGAAGGCCUUCGGGUUGUAAACUGCUUUUGUACGGAACGAAAAGCCUUCUUUUAAUACAGGAGGGUCAUGACGGUACCGUAAGAAGAAGCACCGGCUAACUACGUG
rnacentral:rRNA from 1 species